UCCAGAGGUGGCAAUCGUUGUUCGGAAUUACUGGGCGUAAAGGGCGCGUAGGCGGCCAUCUAAGUCAGACGUGAAAUCCCCCGGCUUAACCUGGGAACUGCGUCUGAUACUGGAGGGCUCGAGUGCGGGAGAGGGAUGUGGAAUUCCAGGUGUAGCGGUGAAAUGCGUAGAUAUCUGGAGGAACACCGGUGGCGAAGGCGGCAUCCUGGACCGACACUGACGCUGAGGCGCGAAAGCUAGGGUAGCAAACGGG
rnacentral:rRNA from 1 species